CUAUCUGCAAAAUACCUUCCAAUGCAAUUCUCUUACAAAUUGCAUUCCAAUUCUUCUUUGAACAAUCUAACAUCAUAAUCACAUAUAUUAGUGAGAAGAUGGAAAGGGGGCCAUCACCACUAAUGCCUUCUCUUUUCUUGCUUUGCUUGGGAUUCCUAAUCUAUUGGCCUAGUUUGUUUUCCAUUUUAGGCACAUUAUUAUCUUCAUUUCAAUGGGUAUCAGAAGUUGAUGAGAAAAGCUUUACAGCCUUAAUAUUGGUGCUUCUUGUUCUUUUAGUAUAUGCAUUUCUUCACUUGCCUUCUUCAUCCCCCUUUGGAAAGUCAUCUUAUGGCAUAAAUCGUCACGCUAGCAUCUCAAGGAAUGAUUAUGUUGGAUUUGAAUUUGAAUUUGGCUUGGGAACACUGCUCUUAUUUUUGGUCUUCGUUCUUUUGUAUAAUCUAUUUUGACAACAUAGACCGACCCCUCGUCAUAAAUCUCUCUUUGCACGGGUGCUAAAGGUAGUGCAAGUUUGAAUUUUAUAAUGAGAAGUAGGUAUUUGAUUUCCUGGACUUCCUUUGGCUCAAAUCAGAUGAAAGAAAUGUCUAUAUAUGCAAAUGAUUUUUAAGUUUUAGUAUUGGAAAGUGCUAAAGCGGUCUGCUGCUUGCUCUCUGGCACCUACAUUCCACCUUGUAGAAUAUGAUGUAUUUAUCAAACGGUUUUUAUUUUUAUUUUGAGUGCUGCACUGUAAAUUUACAUGUAGGAUACUAUCAUUCAUGUGUCUAAUAACUUCAAUAUAUUAUAAAGAGAAAUGAUAUCGAAA